AGCAGCCGCGGUAAUUCCAGCUCCAAUAGCGUAUAUUAAAGUUGUUGCAGUUAAAAAGCUCGUAGUUGAAUUUCGGGAUCAAUACGUCGGUCGUGCUUUCGGGUACGUACUGGCGUCAUUGGUUUCUCCUUUCUGACGAACCAUGAUGUCAUUAAUUUGGUGUUAUGGGGAGUUAGGACUGUUACUUUGAGAAAAUUAGAGUGUUUAAAGCAGGCAUUAGCUUGAAUACAUUAGCAUGGAAUAAUGAAAUAGGACGUUCGAUCCUAUUUUGUUGGUUUCUAGGAUCAACGUAAUGAUUAAUAGGGAUAGUUGGGGGCAUUAGUAUUCAAUUGUCAGAGGUGAAAUUCUUGGAUUUAUUGAAGACUAACUACUGCGAAAGCAUUUGCCAAGGAUGUUUUCAUUAAUCAAGAACGAAAGUUAGGGGAUCGAAGACGAUCAGAUACCGUCGUA
rnacentral:rRNA from 1 species